rnacentral:rRNA from 1 species
AGUGAACGCUGGCGGUAGGCCUAACACAUGCAAGUCGAACGGCAGCACAGUAAGAGCUUGCUCUUACGGGUGGCGAGUGGCGGACGGGUGAGGAAUACAUCGGAAUCUACUUUUUCGUGGGGAUAACGUAGGGAAACUUACGCUAAUACCGCAUACGACCUACGGGUGAAAGCAGGGGAUCUUCGGACCUUGCGCGAUUGAAUGAGCCGAUGUCGGAUUAGCUAGUUGGCGGGGUAAAGGCCCACCAAGGCGACGAUCCGUAGCUGGUCUGAGAGGAUGAUCCGCCACACUGGAACUGGGACACGGUCCAGACUCCUACGGGAGGCAGCAGUGGGGAAUAUUGGACAAUGGGCGCAAGCCUGAUCCAGCCAUACCGCGUGGGUGAAGAAGGCCUUCGGGUUGUAAAGCCCUUUUGUUGGGAAAGAAAAGCAGCAGGUUAAUACCCCGCUGUUCUGACGGUACCCAAAGAAUAAGCCCCGGCUAACUUCGUG